rnacentral:rRNA from 1 species
AUUGAACGCUGGCGGCAUGCCUUACACAUGCAAGUCGAACGGCAGCACGGGAGCUUGCUCCUGGUGGCGAGUGGCGAACGGGUGAGUAAUACAUCGGAACGUACCCUGAAGUGGGGGAUAACGUAGCGAAAGUUACGCUAAUACCGCAUAUUCUGUGAGCAGGAAAGCGGGGGGACCGCAAGGCCUCGCGCGAUUGGAUGAGCCGACGUCGGAUUAGCUAGUUGGCGGGUAAAGGCCCACCAAGGCGACGAUCCGUAGCUGGUCUGAGAGGAUGAUCAGCCACACUGGAACUGAGACACGGUCCAGACUCCUACGGGAGGCAGCAGUGGGGAAUAUUGGACAAUGGGCGCAAGCCUGAUCCAGCAAUGCCGCGUGUGUGAAGAAGGGCCUUCGGGUCGUAGUAAGAC